rnacentral:rRNA from 1 species
CAAUAGCGUAUAUUAAAGUUGUUGCGGUUAAAAGCUCGUAGUUGGAUUUCUGCCUGAGGCAGCCGGUCCGCACUUAGUGCGUGUAUCUGGUUUGGUUUGGGCAUCCUCUUGGGGAUCGUUGCUGUGCUUAGUUGCAUGGUGCGGAAUUCAAGACGUUUACUUUGAGGAAAUUAGAGUGUUCACGGCAGGCUAUCGCCAGAAUACAUUAGCAUGGAAUAAUACUAUAGGAUCUCGGUUCUAUUUUGUUGGUUUCUAGACCCGGGGUAAUGAUUAAUAGGGACAAUUGGGGGCAUUUGUAUCAACACGUCAGAGGUGGAAUUCUUGGAUUGUGUUGCGACAAACUACUGCGAAAGCAUUUGCCAAGGAUGUUUUCAUUGAUCAAGAACGAAAGUAAGGGGAUCGAAGACGAUUAGAUACCGU